CAGUCGCCACGGUAAUACAGAGGAUGCAAGCGUUAUCCUGAAUGAUUGGGCGUAAAGCGUCUGUAGGUGGCUUUUCAAGUCCGCCAUCAAAUCCUAGGGCUCAACCCUGGACAGGCGGUGGAAACUACCAAGCUGGAGUGCGGUAGGGGCAGAGGGGAUUUCCGGUGGAGCGGUGAAAUGCGCUGAGAUCGGAAAGAACACCAACGGCGAAAGCACUCUGCUGGGCUGACACUGACACUGAGAGACGAAAGCUAGGGGAGAAAAUGGGAUUAGAUACCCCAGUAGUCCCUGUCUCUUAUAC
rnacentral:rRNA from 1 species